AUGGUGGUAACGGGUAACGGGGUGUUAGGGCACGACACCGGAGAGGGAGCCUGAGAAACGGCUACCACAUCCAAGGAUGGCAGCAGGCGCGCAAAUUACCCAAUCCCGACACGGGGAGGUAGUGACAAUAAAUAACAAUACAGGGUUCUUUUGGAUCUUGUAAUUGGAAUGAGUACAAUUUAAAUCUCUUAACGAGGAACAAUUGGAGGGCAAGUCUGGUGCCAGCAGCCGCGGUAAUUCCAGCUCCAAUAGCGUAUAUUAAAGUUGUUGCAGUUAAAAAGCUCGUAGUUGAAUUUCGGGAUCAAGGAAUCGGUCAUGCCUCGGUAUGUACUGGUUUUAUUGGUUCUCACCUUCUAAAGAACCAUAAUGUCAUUCAUUUGGUGUUAUGGGGAAUUAGGACUGUUACCUUGAAAAAAUUAGAGUGUUUAAAGCAAGCUUACGCUUGGAUACAUUAGCAUGGAAUAAUGAAAUAGGACAUCCGAUUCUAUUUUGUUGGUUUCUAGGAUCGAUGUAAUGAUUAAUAGGGAUAGUUGGGGGCAUUAGUAUUCAAUUGUCAGAGGUGAAAUUCUUGGAUUUAUUGAAGACUAACUACUGCGAAAGCAUUUGCCAAGGAUGUUUUCAUUAAUCAAGAACGAAAGUUAGGGGAUCGAAGACGAUCAGAUACCGUCGUAGUCUUAACCAUAAACUAUGCCGA
rnacentral:rRNA from 1 species